rnacentral:piRNA from 1 species
UGCCAUGGCUCAUAUACUUCCAGGCAGAC